CCUACGGGUGGCAGCAGUGAGGAAUUUUCCGCAAUGGGCGAUAGCCUGACGGAGCAAUGCCGCGUGGAGGAAGAAGGCCUUAGGGUUGUAAACUCCUUUUCUCAAUGAAGAAGUUCUGACGGUAAUUGAGGAAUAAGCAUCGGCUAACUUCGUGCCAGCAGCCGCGGUAAUACGAGGGAUGCAAGCGUUAUCCGGAAUUAUUGGGCGUAAAGAGUUCGUAGGUGGUUUAAUGUGUCUAAUGUUAAAGAACAAAGCUUAACUUUGCAGGUGCAUUGGAAAC
rnacentral:rRNA from 1 species